UUUAAUUUACAGAAAAAAAAAGUGUUUUAUUAUAGAUAUUUGGUUUAAAAAAAAGACAAAUAAAUAUCUAUCAUAUGUAUUUUUUAUUUUAUAUAUUGUAUAUUAUUAAUUUAUAAUAAUUCUCCUACUACAUAUAUUACUAUUAUAAUUUAUAUUUGUAAAUUAAAUAUAUAAUUAUAUAAUAAAUUAAUAAAUAUAUAAAUAUAAUAUAUAUAAUAAUAGUAUGGAGUGGGGCGGUAUGUUUGUGUAAACAUGGAGCUUUCCGUGUUUUCAGGUCGCUUUCAAUAUUGGGAUUUUAAAAUCGAUUAUUAACUCCGUUAGACUUGAUUUAGGGUAUUUGAAGUACCUAAAAAAUAAAUUUCGUAAGUUUUCGAUAUCAUUUGUCUAAUAAUCGAAGGGGCUCAAAGUUAAUAAUUUUAAUAGUCAUUGUGUGUUUACAAGUUUAACAGUGUAAAAAUAUUCAAAUCAUAUGAAAUUUUGAUAGAAAAUUUUUAUACUAUAUAAAACAAAAUUAAUAUUUUUGAUCUAAAAUGUUAAUGUCAUAUUAUCAUAUUUUGUAAGAUUUUUAUUUUCAGUCGUUGAUUUUGAACCCGUUCGUUCACUAGACAAAUGAUAUGAAAAAAAUACGAAAUUUAUUUUCUAGGUACUUUAAAUACCCUAGAUCAAGUAUAACCGAACUGAUCGUCGAUUCGAAAGUUCCAACAUCGAAAACGACUAGAAAGCACAGAAGACUCUGUACUUUCAGAAACAUACCAGCUUCACUCAAUAGUAUAUAUAUAAUAUUAUAUAAUAAAAAUAUAAAAUAUAUAUAUAAUAAUUUUAAUAUAUAAAAUAUAUCAAGGCUAAUGCUACUAGACUAGCUCUUAUGAAUAUAGAUUACUUUGUACUCAUAAAUUUUCGACCGUUGGAUAAAAGAAUAUGCAGUUAGAAUGACAGUAAUCCUUAAUUAGGAUGAUAAUUGUCUCUUAGAGUUGAGUGGGUCGUUGGUUGAAUAGUAUAAUAUAAUAAUUUAAAAUAAUCAAAAAGAUAAACUUAAUAACCUAAAAUUUAUAAGUACUGUACUCAUAAAAAAUAUAGUAACUGCACUCAUACAUCAAAACAUAAAAUAAAUAUAAUAUA
rnacentral:lncRNA from 1 species